rnacentral:rRNA from 1 species
CCCUUAGAUGUCCUGGGCCGCACGCGCGUUACACUGAUGCAUUCAACGAGCUUAUAACCUUGACCGAGAGGCCUGGGCAAUCUUGUUAACGUGCAUCGUGAUAGGGAUAGAUUAUUGAAAUUAUUAAUCUUGAACGAGGAAUUCCUAGUAAACGCAGAUCAUCAAUCUGCAUUGAUUACGUCCCUGCCCUUUGUACACACCGCCCGUCGCUCCUACCGAUUGGGUGUGCUGGUGAAAUGUUCGGAUCGGCCGUUUGUCGCGGUUUCCGCGGCUCGUGGCUGAGAAGUUCAUUAAACCCUCCCACCUAGAGGAAGGAGAAGUCGUAACA